UUUCCCUCUGAUGCGGCACGUGGCAGACUCCUGGGUGAGCAGGGGCAGGUGCGGAGCUCACAUCAACCCCCACCCUGACCUGAUGGCCUUCCUCAGAGUCGUCAGAGCAGCAGCGUCAGUGUCCCCAUUGAGCUCACUCAAAACGCACAUUCACAGAUCUGCCCUGACCUGCCAAGGCAGAGGUAAUGGGUUCCACGUGAUUCGCAUGUGCACUUGAGUUUGAGAACUGCUGCCUGGGCCUCAGAGGGGAUCAUGGGGGAGCACCUGGGCAGGAAGCACCCUGUCUUCCCACCAUGGGCACCUGCCUCAUACACCCCCUCCCCCGUCUGUCACUGGCCUUGCCUGGAUCACCCCCUCUUGCCUUCAAGGGCUGUGCUCCCCCAUCCCUCUCCUGUAUCACCUAGCUCCCCCUUGGAGGGCUGGUGGGCAUCAGACUGUGAUGAGGAGCUUGCCCUUCCACCUGCAUUAAGGGACACUGCCCUGGCCCAGGGCUCGGGUCAGAGCCCUUAGAGGCACCCUUGAUGCCCCAUCCCUCACUACCCACACCCACAUCCACAGCAUGGCCUCCCUCCAGAAGACCCUGGGUCCAGCAGCAUUUCCCAUCCUCACUGCCAUCCCUGGAGGCUAAGCUGCAGCCUCCAGAGCCCUUGUGGGACAGAGAGAGAGGUCAUCUGCAGUAUAGAGGGGGGCCUCCAUUCCCAGCAAUGCUUGGGACCAGGUUGUCUGCAAGCUCUCCUGCUAUUAGUGCGUAUGUAUACAAUGUUAAAUAUAUAUAAGAGAAAGACUGAGAAAGGUGGGCUAAGCGUCCAUCUCAAGAAGUCAGAAAAAAACAAAAAAAGCCUAAGAACAUAGAAGGAAAUAAUAGACACGAAGGAAAUAGAAAAACAUUCAGUAAAAAGGAGAACCACAAGUUGGUUCUUUUAAAAGAUGACUGGAAUUCAAAAGCUGCUAGGAAGUUGGAUCAAGAUGAAAAGGAGGCACAAGUCACUCUCACUGGGAAUGAAAGACAUUGCUACAGCUUUUCAAACACGAAAGAGGUUAGAGCAGGGCAGCUGCCACCUAACAGGGCAUUCAGGCUGCCCUGUGCCCCCGGAGCUCCAGCCACCUGGGGGAGGGGCUGUCCUUGUCCAAACCACCCAAAAACCCCAAAGGGGGCGAGGGAUGCUGGGAGUGACUUUGAGCCAGCACACUUGAAAGUGUUAACUAACAUGGGUAAGUUCCUAGAGGACAAAAGCUGACUCAAAAAGAAAAAAUCUGAGCAGUCCUAUGGCUGCUAAACCAGAGCUGGAGCUCUGGGCCCAGAUGGCGUUAUUAGGAGAGCUCUACUCAACACUCAAGGGGAAAAAGAAUUGAACAAACUCUCCCAGAGAGUAGAAAAAUAGGAAACAUUUCCCGACUCGUUUUGAGACCAGCAUUUCCUUGACACAAAAUGAAACAAUUCUAGACUAACCUCACUGAUGACCAUAGAUGAGAAGAUCCUAAAGAAAAUCACAGGGGAGGCGGCGCUGUGUACAAAGGACAUAACCUUGUGUCUAAGGUUAAAUCUUAGGCAAAAUUGCUUUAAUGCUGGAAAAUGCGUUAAUCUAAUCCACUGCCUUUGAAACAGUAAGGGAGGAGAACAUUUAUGAUACGUUCAAUAGGUGCAGGUAAAGGGUUCGAUAAAAUGAAACAUUCAUUCGUGAUCAAAAAGAAUGAACAACCCUUGAGCCAACCACAAACAAUUGACAAUAGCACCCCCCGAAAAUGAAGUAGCCAGGGUUAAAUAAAAAAAAUACACAAGGCGUCUCGGGGAACUUUAUGGAGGGUGUUCAGGGAAGACCUAAAGGAGUGGGGGAUACAUCCUGAUCAUAGAAUGGACGUCUGUAUCAAAGAUGCCACCAUUCCCUGUGGUCCGCAAAGUAACGGCUCCCCCCAGAGCUGUCUGGGUUCCCAGAACCUGUGCAUAUGUUAAAGUGCAUGGCAAAGGGGAUUAAGUUUGCAGAUGGAUUUAGGGUUCCACUGACCAUAACAGGGAGGUUACCCUGACAUCUGGUGGGUCCAAUGUAAUCACAACAGUCCUUAACAGCAGAAGGGGACAGAGGAGGGAGAAGCAGAAGGCGGCAGUGUGGGAGGGACCCGGUCUGCGGUUGCUGGCUGUGAAGGUGGAGGAAGGGGCCGUGGGCCAAGGAUGCAGGCCGCCUCUAGAAGCUGGAAAAGGUUGAGACAAAUUCUCACCAGAGUCCCCAGCAGGAACACCGCCCCGCAGACACCUUGGCUUCAGCCCCAUGAGACCCUUUCAGACCUCUGACCUCCAGGAUUCAAGUUAAGUGUUGUUUUACGUUUGUGAUGAUUUGGGACAGCAGCAAUAGGGAAUGAAUAGACUUCAAAACUAUUUAUAGGUUGAAGGCAUUCCCAUUCAAAAUCCCAGCCGGGUUUUUGUGGAAGUUGACAAGCAAAUUCUAAAAUUUACAUGGACGGUCAGAGCCAAGAAUAAUGAAGAAUCUCGAAGAAUGAAAUGGGGCACCUGGAUGGCUGUCGGUUAAGCAUCGGACUCUUGAUUUCGGCUCAGGUCAUGAUCUCAGUGUCGUGAAAUCAAGUCCUGCGUCGGGCUCUGCUCUCAUCGUGGAGUCUGCUCGAGAUUCUCUCUCUCUCCCUCUCCCCCUGCCCCUCACCCCACUUGCACUCUCUCUCUCUCUCUCUCUCAAAAAAAAGGAUGACCUAUUUGGGCAUCAAGGCCUACUUCAUCGAUACUAAUUACACAAAAUCACACAUACAGUGUGGUCACUUCAGAAGGAAGUUCAAACCAGGCUUCAGUGAAACUGUUCUGUAAAGAUGCUUCCAUAGUAAGGGGCAAAUCUGAAGAAGAGGAAGUCAGAAUGGGUCUACCUGAGGGGGAUGAGGGGAAAGCACAGGGGGCUCUGGGGUGCUGGCCGCUUGCUCUUUAUUGAGGGGUUGGUGGUGACAUGGGGGUUUGCCUCACGAUUUUGUUGAACUGUAUGUUUAUGUUUUAUGUGUUGUACAGUAUGAUGUUAUAAUGAUGUUUAAUACAUUAAAAAUCAGACGAAUUUCAUGUCA